AGAGUUUGAUCCUGGCUCAGAACGAACGCUGGCGGCGUGCCUAACACAUGCAAGUCGAACGGAGUGAAGGAGCUUGCUCUUUCAUUUAGUGGCGCACGGGUGAGUAACGCGUAGAUAAUCUGCCUUGGACUCUGGGAUAACAUCUCGAAAGGGGUGCUAAUACCGGAUAAGCCCACGAUGGCGUAAGUCAUUGCGGGAAAAGGGGGCCUCUGAAUAUGCUCCUGAUUCAAGAUGAGUCUGCGUACCAUUAGCUAGUUGGUAGGGUAAGAGCCUACCAAGGCGACGAUGGUUAGCUGGUCUGAGAGGAUGAUCAGCCACACUGGAACUGAGACACGGUCCAGACUCCUACGGGAGGCAGCAGUGGGGAAUUUUGCGCAAUGGGGGAAACCCUGACGCAGCAACGCCGCGUGAGUGAUGAAGGCUUUCGGGUCG
rnacentral:rRNA from 1 species